rnacentral:rRNA from 1 species
AUUGAACGCUGGCGGCAGGCCUAACACAUGCAAGUCGAGCGGUAGCACAGAGAGCUUGCUCUCGGGUGACGAGCGGCGGACGGGUGAGUAAUGUCUGGGAAACUGCCUGAUGGAGGGGGAUAACUACUGGAAACGGUAGCUAAUACCGCAUAACGUCGCAAGACCAAAGUGGGGGACCUUCGGGCCUCAUGCCAUCAGAUGUGCCCAGAUGGGAUUAGCUAGUAGGUGGGGUAAUGGCUCACCUAGGCGACGAUCCCUAGCUGGUCUGAGAGGAUGACCAGCCACACUGGAACUGAGACACGGUCCAGACUCCUACGGGAGGCAGCAGUGGGGAAUAUUGCACAAUGGGCGCAAGCCUGAUGCAGCCAUGCCGCGUGUGUGAAGAAGGCCUUCGGGUUGUAAAGCACUUUCAGCGGGGAGGAAGGCGAUAAGGUUAAUAACCUCAUCGAUUGACGUUACCCGCAGAAGAAGCACCGGCUAACUCCGUGCCAGCAGCCGCGGUAAUACGGAGGGUGCAAGCGUUAAUCGGAAUUACCGGGCGUAAAGCGCACGCAGGCGGUCUGUCAAGUCGGAUGUGAAAUCCCCGGGCUCAACCUGGGAACUGCAUUCGAAACUGGCAGGCUAGAGUCUUGUAGAGGGGGGUAGAAUUCCAGGUGUAGCGGUGAAAUGCGUAGAGAUCUGGAGGAAUACCGGUGGCGAAGGCGGCCCCCUGGACAAAGACUGACGCUCAGGUGCGAAAGCGUGGGGAGCAAACAGGAUUAGAUACCCUGGUAGUCCACGCCGUAAACGAUGUCGAUUUGGAGGUCGUGCCCUUGAGGCGUGGCUUCCGGAGCUAACGCGUUAAAUCGACCGCCUGGGGAGUACGGCCGCAAGGUUAAAACUCAAAUGAAUUGACGGGGGCCCGCACAAGCGGUGGAGCAUGUGGUUUAAUUCGAUGCAACGCGAAGAACCUUACCUGGUCUUGACAUCCACAGAACUUUCCAGAGAUGGAUUGGUGCCUUCGGGAACUGUGAGACAGGUGCUGCAUGGCUGUCGUCAGCUCGUGUUGUGAAAUGUUGGGUUAAGUCCCGCAACGAGCGCAACCCUUAUCCUUUGUUGCCAGCGGUCCGGCCGGGAACUCAAAGGAGACUGCCAGUGAUAAACUGGAGGAAGGUGGGGAUGACGUCAAGUCAUCAUGGCCCUUACGACCAGGGCUACACACGUGCUACAAUGGCAUAUACAAAGAGAAGCGACCUCGCGAGAGCAAGCGGACCUCAUAAAGUAUGUCGUAGUCCGGAUUGGAGUCUGCAACUCGACUCCAUGAAGUCGGAAUCGCUAGUAAUCGUAGAUCAGAAUGCUACGGUGAAUACGUUCCCGGGCCU